rnacentral:snRNA from 13 species
AACCUUGCGUAGUGGCAAUAUCGUAAUCAAUGAAGUUCUACUGAGAUGCGAUUAUUGCUAGUUGAAACUAAAUUAAAUUGAAUUCUUACACAUUCUAGCAGCUUGGGACUAUCCACUUUAGAAUGUAGGAAGUUAUGGUGGAACAGCAAGUCAAUCAGGUAUCUUCUAUCUUCCAAAAUUGAUCCAUGUU